rnacentral:rRNA from 1 species
GACGAACCGUGCGAACGUUGUUCGGAUUCACUGGGCUUAAAGGGCGCGUAGGCGGUCUGCCAAGUCCGGGGUGAAAGCCCCCAGCUCAACUGGGGAAGUGCCUUGGAUACUGGCGGACUCGAGGGAGGCAGGGGUUGUGGGAACUUCCGGUGGAGCGGUGAAAUGCGUUGAUAUCGGAAGGAACGCCGGUGGCGAAAGCGCACAACUGGUCCUCUUCUGACGCUGAGGCGCGAAAGCCAGGGGAGCAAACGGG